UGGGGAAUUUUGCGCAAUGGGGGAAACCCUGACGCAGCAACGCCGCGUGGAGGAUGAAAUCCCUUGGGAUGUAAACUCCUUUCGAUAGGGAAGAUUAUGACGGUACCUAUAGAAGAAGCCCCGGCUAACUUCGUGCCAGCAGCCGCGGUAAUACGAGGGGGGCAAGCGUUGUUCGGAUUUAUUGGGCGUAAAGGGUGCGUAGGCGGUUUGGCAAGUCUUGUGUGAAAUCUUUGGGCUCAACCCAAAGCCUGCACAAGAAACUGCCGGGCUUGAGUAUGGGAGAGGUGAGUGGAAUUUCCGGUGUAGCGGUGAAAUGCGUAGAUAUCGGAAGGAACACCAGUGGCGAAGGCGGCCUUCUGGGCAUUUCCUGACGCUGAGGCGCGAAAGCGUGGGGAGCGAAC
rnacentral:rRNA from 1 species